rnacentral:rRNA from 1 species
GUAAGGAAUAUUGGACAAUGGACGCAAGUCUGAUCCAGCCAUGCCGCGUGAAGGAUGAAUGCCCUCUGGGUUGUAAACUUCUUUUAUAGGGGAAGAAAGAUACUUUUUUUAAGGUAGUUGACGGUACCCUAUGAAUAAGCACCGGCUAACUCCGUGCCAGCAGCCGCGGUAAUACGGAGGGUGCAAGCGUUAUCCGGAUUUACUGGGUUUAAAGGGUGCGUAGGCGGGCAUGUAAGUCAGUGGUGAAAUACCGGAGCUUAACUUCGGAACUGCCAUUGAUACUAUAUGUCUUGAAUAUUGUGGAGGUAAGCGGAAUAUGUCAUGUAGCGGUGAAAUGCAUAGAUAUGACAUAGAACACCGAUUGCGGAGGCAGCUUGCUACGCAAAUAUUGACGCUGAGGCACGAAAGCGUGGGGAUCAAACA